UACGUAGGGUGCAAGCGUUGCCCGGAGUUAUUGGGCGUAAAGGGCGCGUAGGCGGCUCUGCACGUUCGUUGUGAAAUCGCCCGGCUCAACUGGGCGGGGUCAGCGGAUACGGCAGAGCUUGAGCAAGCUAGGGGGCAAUGGAAUUCCCGGUGUAGUGGUGGAAUGCGUAGAUAUCGGGAGGAACACCAGUGGCGAAGGCGGUUGCCUGGGGCUUUGCUGACGCUGAUGCGCGAAAGCGUGGGGAGCGAUCCGG
rnacentral:rRNA from 1 species